rnacentral:rRNA from 1 species
AACGUAGGACACAAGCGUUAUCCGGAGUUACUGGGCGUAAAGGGCGUGCAGGCGGUUUCUUAAGUCAGGCGUGAAACCAUUCGGCUAAACCGGGUGUAGUCGUCUGAGACUGGGAGACUAGAGUGUGGUAGAGGCGUGUAGAAUUCCGGGUGUAGUGGUGAAAUGCGUAGAUAUCCGGAGGAAUACCAGUGGCGAAGGCGGCACGCUGGGCCAUAACUGACGCUAAGACGCGAAAGCAUGGGGAGCAAACAGG